AGUGCCUAGGUCGGCCCUUCAAGCACACGCAGGAGCUCCGCCUUGAUCCAAGGCAUUCCAUGUGAGGCUCAAAUGACAAUUAGGGAGAACUUGCUCUUAAUUACCUAACAAAUCAAACAAGAACUGAAUGGUUCAAAUUUGCUUUUGUUGGAAGGUUUUGAAAAAGUGUUUUAAUUAUUUUUGUUUCUACAAAAACAAAGUGUUCUCUCCAAGAAAUAAAAAAUGCUAAAGACCGCUCUUGA
rnacentral:lncRNA from 1 species